AAGGUGUCGCGGGCUUAGAGUGGGGUAUCCCCAGUAAUCAGAAAGAAAGGGAGCGAGAAAAAGAAACACCUAUUGGUCGCCUCUCAUAGGCUCCCCAACUGGAGAUCCAACCUUCAACCUAGCUGAUGGAGAGGAAGACAGGGAACGCGCAUGCUGGACCGUGCUGGGGAUGUAAACCCCGAAGAGGCAGGAGCUCAUCUGCCGGAGCAGCUGAUGUUUGAUACUCUUCACACUCUUCCAAGAGAAUUUCAAGAAAUGUUCAAAAACAACCAAGGAAGCCAUAAGGUGUCUAGGAGAACCUAAGUUGUAAAUCUGCCAACUACUUUCUAAAUUUGAAGGUCACAUUUGGCUGGGGGUGGGUGCUCCUAGGCAAGAUGGUUGUGUAAACUCCUAAAUCCCCACUGAAGUGACUCAGGGCAAAAAUACCCACAUCAGUGCUAGAAACCUGGAGUUACACUCAGCUGCCAGAAAUAAGGGGGAAUGUCUGGUAGACGUUUUUGUUGAUGUGUUACUAGCACAUUGAGUAACUAGCACAUUAAGUAACAGUGUGACUCUUGGGAUGUGAUCAUAAUGUGACUUCCCUUUUGUCACCCAUUGUGUCUUUACAUUGGCCUCAUGGGUUUGUUUUUUCUUUGUCCCUGGAACAAAAUGCUGGUUCCUUGAUUUUUUUUUUUUUAAUUCUUAGGUAACAAAAGGUCAUAUAAUCACUUUAAGUCAGAACACAGGCUCAGUCUGAAAUGCCCAGUCCUAUAUAAUAAAACCCUGACUCUGACUUACAGUUGAGGCUUCCCCGUUCGGUGCAGGCCUGUAGCAGCCCACAGGGGGAGACAGGUGCGGAGCUGGUCGGGGGCUUCUACUUCCCUGCCUUGUUCUGCGCCUUCUCUGUUAGCAGACCAGUCAUGGGUUCGGACUUCUCCAUGUAUUGAACUGCAGGAGGGAGGAGGUGUGCGGUUACUGUUCACGUUGGUAGCCUGUUAGAGGCACGUUGCAGGAGUAUCUUAUUUGACUACUGUUGUCUUGCCUGGCAGUUGUUCGAAGGGGACUCUUUCUCUCCUGGUUUUAGAGACCACCCUGUUGUUGAGAAUUUCUCACCUAGAGUUGAGUCGAAAAACUAAGACUACAGUUGUACUCCAAGAAAUCUUAAGAAAACCAUAUCUCUCCUUUGGACUUCAAAAGGUUACACUAAACCUAAACGAAAAGUAGGCCAAUGAAAAGUGAAAUUUUAACAAAAAUAGACAUUGCGUCAAAGACCUGA